AAAAAUAAGAUUGGUCAAAAUAAAAUGACUAAUAAUGUACAAGGAGCACUAUAUUUUAAUCACAACUGUUGAUUAAACUACAUCUGAUGGACAAAAAUGCAUUGAAACUUUUAGUUAUCUCCGUGCUUGUUUCUUAUUGGUCAAUUCCCCCAAGACAAGGAUCCCUUUUUCUCUGACUCCUCUCACGACAUCUCAUCUGUCAGAAGAGAUGGAAAGCUCUAGCCUCGCCGCUGCCGAGCUCUAGCCCCGCCGCUGUUGAGCUCUAGCCCUGCCGUCUCCAUAUCCUCUCUGUCUCCGUCAAUAUCCACACCACCACACUACUACGGGUCGAUUCACGCAUGAAAGGCUGGAGAAGAAGAUGAAGAAGCUUGAAGGUGGAGGAGGAGGCAUAGAAGGCGUUCGUGAGCAGCGGAGGCGUUUUGUGAGCAAAGGUGGUGGUUUGGGAUAGACGACUGCAUCCGGAAAGAUGUUUUGCUGAUGAAGAUAAAUGGAGUGGAUCCUGUUACCUUUGAACCUAUUCAGCCUGAGAGUGAUGCCUCUGUUCCAACUCCCCAAUCAAGCCAAGAACUUGAUCAAAAUUCUCCCGUACACUAACUCCUCCAUCUGAUCUUGGUGUCUUUUGUGUUUAUACUAAGUUAAACUCUAACAUCAUUAGAUGUCUUUUGUAAAAACACCACUAGAUGUCUUUUGUAACUAUUGAAGAACAUCAUUAGAUGUCUUUUGUAAAAAACUUAUAAUUUUAAUGGUAUUUGAAUGUUUAAAUUAA